AAUUUCAAUUGCCCCGAUGGUCAAACAUGCCACAGAAGAAGAUGCAGGGAACUAUGCGGAUUUUCGGGUUUCUGUCCUUCUGGAUAUUACUGUGUGUCUAGAGUUUGUUUACCUAUACAAGAUGGGCCAACCAUUCCUAUUCCAACCUCCUUCCCUACUCCGACUGCACCCUCGCAAAUAGGAUGUCAAAGUAAUGCUGAAUGCCCAUCUGGACAAGAGUGUGUGAGAAUCGGAUCACAAAGGCAAUGCGUGUUCGUGAUUUCGUAAGGAGAACAUCAGCGUACACUGAGACAUUUAAUGGAUUCGAACGAGAUUUGGUAAAUGACAAUGCAUAGUUUCCAGUUGAAAGAAGAAAGAAGCUUUAUAUUUGCUACGAAGUAUGGAUUUGCAAAAUAUUGUCACUAUGAUUGAAAAUAAAUAUAUCAUCAGACAA